UCCCUCCCCUUCCCUGGCCGGGGCUUUCGCCGAGCAGAAAUCCUGCCUGGAGGAAAUGGAGCCUCUGGAGGAAAAGCCUGCAAGGAUCCAGCUCCAGGCAAGGCUCCGGGUCCUGCUAGACAUGGAGUGGAGCGGACCGCGAUGGGGGCUCGUGUCACGGAGCUCUGUGGGGCAUGGCAGUGAGUGACGAACGGCCCCACCUCUGCGGGGACGUCGCCUUGUGGAGGCUGCGGGGAUUUAUGGCUCCUCUCUCACCUGACAGAUGCAGUCCUGGGUGCACGUUGGUGUUUCUGGGGAAGGGCCCCAGAGUGAGCGUGUUGGGGUUUUGCUGAUGCACACAUGCAAAAAAGCAAAUUUUGCAGAUGUGGAAGAUGUCACUGUGGGAGCUGGCACAGCCUAUUUUAUGAUGCCAGCAUCUGCAAACUGCUCUGUCCCUUGCACCCUCCCAGGAUGUAUAAACAAAACCAGAAGGCAGUAAUUCCACCUGUUUCUGCCUUUUUAGCCACUUUAGCAAUCCCUAGUCAUGUUUCCACGUGCUCUCAAGAGAUAUUCCAAAUACAGGUAUGGGGGACAUACUUCAAACCAUAAAUCAAGAUAUUUAUACAUUCUGUUCAUUUACAAACAUGCUUUCAUUACUGAAAAAUAUAUUAUUCACUCCCUGCCUCAUUUUAUUCUCACAAAUAAAUGCAGCUGAGUCUUAUCUUUCUACAGGGUACUUAUCACAGACCCACGUUAUUAAACAUUAUACUCUUACCAUCAUGGA